rnacentral:ncRNA from 1 species
CGUCUCCUCCAUGUCUCCACUGAUAUGGAUUGAAGCCCGCCGCGUGCGGGCUUUUUUUU